AACAAACGCUGGCGGCGUGCCUAACACAUGCAAGUCGUACGAGAAAGUCGGCUUCGGCCGGUGAGUAAAGUGGCGCACGGGUGAGUAACGCGUGGAUAAUCUGCCCUCCGGUCAGGAAUAACCAAUCGAAAGGUUGGCUAAUACCCGAUCACACUCUUGCACUGCGGUGCAAUAGUCAAAGAUGGCCUCUGUAUACAAGCUAUCGCCGGGGGAUGAGUCCGCGUACCAUUAGCUGGUUGGUGGGGUAAUGGCCUACCAAGGCGAUGAUGGUUAGCUGGUCUGAGAGGAUGGCCAGCCACACUGGAACUGAGACACGGUCCAGACUCCUACGGGAGGCAGCAGUGAGGAAUCUUGCGCAAUGGGCGAAAGCCUGACGCAGCAACGCCGCGUGCGGGAUGAAGGCCUUCGGGGUGUAAACUCCUUUUCUCUAGGGAAAAGGAUGAUGGUACCUGAGGAAUAAGCCCCGGCUAACUACGUGCCAGCAGCCGCGGUAACG
rnacentral:rRNA from 1 species